AUUGAACGCUGGCGGCAGGCCUAACACAUGCAAGUCGAGCGGAUGAAGGGAGCUUGCUCCUGGAUUCAGCGGCGGACGGGUGAGUAAUGCCUAGGAAUCUGCCUGGUAGUGGGGGAUAACGUCCGGAAACGGGCGCUAAUACCGCAUACGUCCUGAGGGAGAAAGUGGGGGAUCUCCGGACCUCACGCUAUCAGAUGAGCCUAGGUCGGAUUAGCUAGUUGGUGGGGUAAAGGCCUACCAAGGCGACGAUCCGUAACUGGUCUGAGAGGAUGAUCAGUCACACUGGAACUGAGACACGGUCCAGACUCCUACGGGAGGCAGCAGUGGGGAAUACUGGACAAUGGGCGAAAGCCUGAUCCAGCCAUGCCGCGUGUGUGAAGAAGGUCUUCGGAUUGUAAAGCACUUUAAGUUGGGAGGAAGGGCAGUAAGUUAAUACCUUGCUGUUUUGACGUUACCAACAGAAUAAGCACCGGCUAACUUCGUG
rnacentral:rRNA from 1 species